GAUGAACGCUGACAGAAUGCUUAACACAUGCAGGUCUUUGGCGAAGCUGUGCUUGCACAGCCUAGCCAAGGCGGACGGGUGAGUAACGCGUAAGGAACUUGCCCUGCAGUCAGGGAUAACAGACGGAAACGACUGAUAAGACCUGGUAAAGUCAGGCGGACUCAUGUCCAGCCUGAUGAAAAGAGAUGCUGCAGGAGAGCCUUGCGUCCUAUUAGCUUGUUGGUGGGGUAACGGCCCACCAAGGCGAUGAUAGGUAGCCGGCCUGAGAGGGUGGACGGCCACAAGGGGACUGAGAUACGGCCCUUACUCCUACGGGAGGCAGCAGUGGGGAAUAUUGGACAAUGGGGGCAACCCUGAUCCAGCAAUUCUGUGUGCACGAUGAAGGUUUUCGGAUUGUAAAGUGCUUUCAGCAGGGAAGAAAAAAAUGACGGUACCUGCAGAAGAAGCGACGGCUAAAUACGUG
rnacentral:rRNA from 1 species